rnacentral:rRNA from 1 species
AGCAGCCGCGGUAAUUCCAGCUCCAAUAGCGUAUAUUAAAGUUGUUGCAGUUAAAAAGCUCGUAGUUGAAUUUCGAGAUCAAAUUGUUGGUCGUGCCUCGGUACGUACUGGCAUUAUUGAUUUCUCCCUUCUGAAGAACCUUGACGUCAUUAAUUUGGUGUCUUGGGGAAUCAGGACCGUUACUUUGAAAAAAUUAGAGUGUUUAAAGCAGGCUCACGCUUGAAUACAUUAGCAUGGAAUAAUGAAAUAGGACGUUUGAUUCUAUUUUGUUGGUUUCUAGGAUCGACGUAAUGAUUAAUAGGGAUAGUUGGGGGCAUUAGUAUUCAAUUGUCAGAGGUGAAAUUCUCGGAUUUAUUGAAGACUAACUACUGCGAAAGCAUUUGCCAAGGAUGUUUUCAUUAAUCAAGAACGAAAGUUAGGGGAUCGAAGACGAUCAGAUACCGUCGUAGUCUUAACCAUAAACUAUGCCGACUAGGGAUCGGAUGAUGUUAAUUUUUAAUGACU